CCUACGGGAGGCAGCAGUGGGGGAUAUUGCACAAUGGGGGAAACUCUGAUGCAGCGACGCCGCGUGUGGGAAGACGGUCCUCUGGAUUGUAAACCACUGUCCCCAGGGACGAAGAUGACGGUACCUGGGGAGGAAGCUUCGGCUAACUACGUGCCAGCAGCCGCGGUAAUACGUAGGGAGCGAGCGUUGUCCGGAAUUACGGGGUGAAAAGGGAGCGUAGGCGGGGAUGCAAGUUGGGUGUCAAAACUACCGGCUCAACUGGUAGUCGCACUCAAAACUGCAGCUAUUGAGUGAAGAAGAGGCAGGCGGAAUUCCUAGUGUAGCGGUGAAAUGCGUAGAUAUUAGGAGGAACACCAGUGGCGAAGGCGGCCUGCUGGGCUUUUACUGACGCUGAGGCUCGAAAGUGUGGGGAGCAAACAGGAUUAGAUACCCGGGUAGUC
rnacentral:rRNA from 1 species